rnacentral:tRNA from 1 species
CAAAGAAUAGUUUAGUGAAAAUCCUAGCUUUGGGAGUUAGGGAUAGGGGUUUGAACCCCCUUUCUUUGA